UAGGGAAUCUUCGGCAAUGGGGGCGAACCCUGACCGAGCAACGCCGCGUGAGUGAAGAAGGUUUUCGGUACCGUAAAGCUCUGUUGUAAGAGAAGAACGUGUGUGAGAGUGGAAAGUUCACACAGUGACGGUAACUUACCAGAAAGGGACGGCUAACUACGUACCUG
rnacentral:rRNA from 1 species